rnacentral:rRNA from 1 species
UACGAAGGGGGCUAGCGUUGUUCGGAAUUACUGGGCGUAAAGCGCGCGCAGGCGGUCCUUUAAGUCGGGGGUGAAAGCCCAGAGCUCAACUCUGGAACUGCCUUCGAAACUAGAGGACUUGGGUACGGGAGAGGUGAGUGGAAUUCCGAGUGUAGAGGUGAAAUUCGUAGAUAUUCGCAAGAACACCAGUGGCGAAGGCGGCUUACUGGUCCGGUUCUGACGCUGAGGCGCGAAAGCGUGGGGAGCAAACAGG